GCAAACUUGGUCAUUUAGAGGAAGUAAAAGUCGUAACAAGGUUUCCGUAGGUGAACCUGCGGAAGGAUCAUUGCCGAGUUCAUGCCCUUCGGGGUAGAUCUCCCACCCUUGUGUAUUUAUACUCUGUUGCUUUGGCGGACAGCGUGACUUCGGUCACGCCAGGGUCCCUAGGGACCGUGAGGUCUCCUUGUCCGCCAGAGGGUAACCAAACUCAUAUUUUUUUUGUCGUCUGAGUGACUAUCUAAUAGUUAAAACUUUCAACAACGGAUCUCUUGGUUCUGGCAUCGAUGAAGAACGCAGC
rnacentral:misc_RNA from 1 species